rnacentral:rRNA from 1 species
CAGUAGCCGCGGGAAUACAGAGGGUGCAAGCGUUAAUCGGAAUUACUGGGCGUAAAGCGCGCGUAGGUGGUUUGUUAAGUUGGAUGUGAAAGCCCCGGGCUCAACCUGGGAACUGCAUCCAAAACUGGCAAGCUAGAGUACGGUAGAGGGUGGUGGAAUUUCCUGUGUAGCGGUGAAAUGCGUAGAUAUAGGAAGGAACACCAGUGGCGAAGGCGACCACCUGGACUGAUACUGACACUGAGGUGCGAAAGCGUGGGGAGCAAACAGGAUUAGAUACCCGGGUAGUCCCUGUCUCUUAUAC